rnacentral:rRNA from 1 species
UACGUAGGCUGCGAGCGUUAAUCGGAAUUACUGGGCGUAAAGCGUGCGCAGGCGGUUUUGUAAGCCAGUUGUGAAAUCCCCGGGCUUAACCUGGGAACUGCAUUUGGGACUGCAAGGCUUGAGUACGGCAGAGGGGGGUAGAAUUCCUGGUGUAGCAGUGAAAUGCGUAGAUAUCAGGAGGAACAUCGAUGGCGAAGGCGAGUCUCUGGACAUUUCCUGACGCUGAGGCACGAAAGCCAGGGGAGCAAACGGG